GAUGAACGCUGGCGGCGUGCUUAACACAUGCAAGUCGAGCGGAUUGAGGACUUCGGUCUGAUAUUAGCGGCGGACGGGUGAGUAACGCGUGGGUGACCUGCCUUAUACAGGGGGAUAACAGUGAGAAAUCACUGCUAAUACCGCAUAAGACCACACUACUACAUGGUAGAGAGGUAAAAGGAGCAAUCCGGUAUAAGAUGGGCCCGCGUCUGAUUAGCUAGUUGGAGAGGUAAUGGCUCACCAAGGCGACGAUCAGUAGCCGACCUGAGAGGGUGAUCGGCCACAUUGGGGACUGAGACACGGCCCAAACUCCUACGGGAGGCUG
rnacentral:rRNA from 1 species